AUCUGGCUCAUGACCAUGACAAAUGCUUCUCAUCCAAGAAUAAGGCUGCUUGCUUGCGCCUUCUAGAAUGUCCUGUGACUCAGCUCAAUUGCAGAGGCGUCCACCCACUGAAGUUUCUGCGUGGCCACCUGACUUAGAGAACCUGGGUUUGAUUCUCAGCACCCAUGUGGUAAUUCCCAAGUGUCUCUAAUCCCACGGUUCCAGAGGAUCUGAUGGCCUCUUCUGACCUCUGAAGGCAACAAGCAUGCAUGUAGUGUGUGUCUGAGACACACACAGAAUUACGCAUGCACAUACACAGUCACACAUGUACAUAUGCAUAUACAGUCACAUGGUCUCUCCCUCCCUCUCUGUCUGUCUGUCUGUCUGUCUCUCUCUCUCUCUCUCUCUCUCUCUCUCUCUCUCUCUCUCACACACACACACACACACACACACACUGAGUUCAAGGCUUAGUUUGCAUGUGCCUAACAUAGGAUCACUAACACUUGCCAUAUUUGCCCAGUACAAGUGAAACAUAUAGACGCUUUGCUUCUAAACUACACAUACCACACGUCAGCUACCGGACGGAAAGUGUCUGCCCUUCUGAUGCAGCCUCUUGCCAGGAACUGUACCACAUUCUUCGGCGCUAAGGCACAGUCUGGAAGGAAUCUGAAACUUGUGCCAGCUUCCUGGAACUCAGUCUCCCCCCUCUGUGUCAGCUGGCUGGUCUAUCUGUCUGUCCAGUUUCUCCAGGGACAAAGUCCAUGCUACCUGCAAGAGGGCAAGUCAAAUCAGGAACCAGACUGGCUCCUGGAGCUUCCCACUGUUGACAGCCUGCCCGGGUGGGUGCCCAGGAGACUUUGUGCAGCCUUUACUGCCUGAGACACCGAGGAAGUGCUUGUUGGAACUGCUCCGAGAAACUGGGGAAAUGAAGGAUGUUAUAAUAUCCAUUUAUGAAUCAGCGCUCACGGCGUGAACUUUGUCAUGUUUCCUGUGAUGUCUGUAACUUUGAAAGAACAAGAAAAGCUAAUGGUCCUAACUAAACACACUUCUCACCUUCUGUAUCUUUUAAUGGAUAUUAAGUCACCACUUGAAAUGUGUUGUUUUUGGAAAGACCUAACCAAAGGAAAAAAAAAUAAUAACCUUUCUUUUUUGCUGGAAGAUCAUUUUCAUUUUGUAGGGAAUUUUGUCGGCAUUGUUAAGACCGGACUAUUCUCAGAUGUCUAGACAUGGCACGCAUGGGGUGUGUACUUCAGCCUGAGUUUUCAGUUAAUUUAAAUUUAAUUUUUCUUUCUCUCUCACCCUCCACUGUACCUGCCAUCAGCAGCAUCUAAACCAUCUAUAGGUGACCUUCUUAGAAACAAAACCUGGCAAUUGCUAUGGUCUCCAAUAAAUUCCCUUUGGAACAGGUGACUUUUAAUUGUAGGAAAAAAUGAUUAAAAUCCUGAAAUCAUUGCUGAAAGAAAAAGUAACAAGAGUUUAAAAGACAGUGAUGUGGGGGUGUGACAUUAUGGAUUAAAAAAAAAAAACACUGGGGAAAAAUUAACAAAGCUAAUAAUAAAUAAUUAAACAAAUAUAAGGUUAGUAGACUGAAAUGUAUUAGACAUUUCUUUUUUGGGGGGGUUGAUUUUUUUGGGGGGGGGAGAGGGUUUCUCUGUAUAGCCCUGGCUAUCCUGGAACUCACUUUGUAAUCCAGGCUGGCCUCGAACUCAGAAAUCCACCUGCCUCUGCCUCUGCUGGGAUUAAAGGCAUGCACCACCACGCCCAGCGUAUUAGACAAUUCUGAAUUAAAAAUAUACAAAUUACUUAAAAGC
ensembl:lincRNA